GACGAACGCUGGCGGCGUGCUUAACACAUGCAAGUCGAACGAAGUGGCGAACGGGUGAGUAACGCGUAAUCAACCUGCCCUUCAGAGGGGGACAACAGUUGGAAACGACUGCUAAUACCGCAUAACGAAGGAGGGGAUUGCGUCGGAUUAGCUAGUUGGGGGGGUAACGGCCAACCAAGGCGAGGAUCCGUAGCCGGUCGGAGAGGAGGAACGGCCACAUUGUGACUGGGACACGGCCCAGACUCCUACGGGAGGCAGCAGUGGGGAAUCUUCCGCAAUGGACGAAAGUCGGACGGAGCAACGCCGCGUGAGUGAGGACGGCCUUCGGGUUGUAAAGCUCUGUUAAUCGGGACGCGGUACCGGAAUAGAAAGCCACGGCUAACUACGUGCCAGCAGCCGCGGUAAUAC
rnacentral:rRNA from 1 species